rnacentral:tRNA from 2 species
GCCGAGAUGGUGAAAUUGGUAGACACAAGGGACUUAAAAUCCCUCGGACAUAUAUGUCCAUCCCGGUUCGAGCCCGGGUCUCGGUA